rnacentral:rRNA from 1 species
GAUGAACGCUGGCGGCGUGCCUAAUACAUGCAAGUCGAGCGAACGGACGAGAAGCUUGCUUCUCUGAUGUUAGCGGCGGACGGGUGAGUAACACGUGGAUAACCUACCUAUAAGACUGGGAUAACUUCGGGAAACCGGAGCUAAUACCGGAUAAUAUUUUGAACCGCAUGGUUCAAAAGUGAAAGACGGUCUUGCUGUCACUUAUAGAUGGAUCCGCGCUGCAUUAGCUAGUUGGUAAGGUAACGGCUUACCAAGGCAACGAUGCAUAGCCGACCUGAGAGGGUGAUCGGCCACACUGGAACUGAGACACGGUCCAGACUCCUACGGGAGGCAGCAGUAGGGAAUCUUCCGCAAUGGGCGAAAGCCUGACGGAGCAACGCCGCGUGAGUGAUGAAGGUCUUCGGAUCGUAAAACUCUGUUAUUAGGGAAGAACAUAUGUGUAAGUAACUGUGCACAUCUUGACGGUACCUAAUCAGAAAGCCACGGCUAACUACGUGCCAGCAGCCGCGGUAAUACGUAGGUGGCAAGCGUUAUCCGGAAUUAUUGGGCGUAAAGCGCGCGUAGCGGUUUUUUAAGUCUGAUGUGAAAGCCCACGGCUCAACCGUGGAGGGUCAUUGGAAACUGGAAAACUUGAGUGCAGAAGAGGAAAGUGGAAUUCCAUGUGUAGCGGUGAAAUGCGCAGAGAUAUGGAGGAACACCAGUGGCGAAGGCGACUUUCUGGUCUGUAACUGACGCUGAUGUGCGAAAGCGUGGGGAUCAAACAGGAUUAGAUACCCUGGUAGUCCACGCCGUAAACGAUGAGUGCUAAGUGUUAGGGGGUUUCCGCCCCUUAGUGCUGCAGCUAACGCAUUAAGCACUCCGCCUGGGGAGUACGACCGCAAGGUUGAAACUCAAAGGAAUUGACGGGGACCCGCACAAGCGGUGGAGCAUGUGGUUUAAUUCGAAGCAACGCGAAGAACCUUACCAAAUCUUGAUAUCCUCUGACCCCUCUAGAGAUAGAGUUUUCCCCUUCGGGGGACAGAGUGACAGGUGGUGCAUGGUUGUCGUCAGCUCGUGUCGUGAGAUGUUGGGUUAAGUCCCGCAACGAGCGCAACCCUUAAGCUUAGUUGCCAUCAUUAAGUUGGGCACUCUAAGUUGACUGCCGGUGACAAACCGGAGGAAGGUGGGGAUGACGUCAAAUCAUCAUGCCCCUUAUGAUUUGGGCUACACACGUGCUACAAUGGACAAUACAAAGGGCAGCGAAACUGCGAGGUCAAGCAAAUCCCAUAAAGUUGUUCUCAGUUCGGAUUGUAGUCUGCAACUCGACUAUAUGAAGCUGGAAUCGCUAGUAAUCGUAGAUCAGCAUGCUACGGUGAAUACGUUCCCGGGUCU